rnacentral:rRNA from 1 species
GAUGAACGCUGGUGGCGUGCCUAAUACAUGCAAGUCGAGCGGAGCGGGGACGGGUGAGUAACAUGUGGCUAACCUCCUCUAAGUGUGGGAUAACUUCGGGAAACCGGAGCUAAACCGGAUACUUACAGAUGCAUCCGCGCUGCAUUAGCUAGGUGGUAAGGUACCGGCUUACAAAGGCAACGAUGCAUAGCCGACCUGAGAGUGUGAUCGGCAACACUGGAACGGAGACACGGGCCAGACUCCGACGGGAGGCAGCAGUAGAGAAUCUUCCGCAAUGGGCGAAAGCCUGACGGAGCAACGCCGCGUGAGUGAUGAAGGUCUUCGGAUCGUAAAACUCUGUUAUUAGGGAAGCGGUACCUAAUCAGAAAGCCACGGCUAACUACGUGCCAGCAGCCGCGGUAAUUC